GUCAUGGAGCAGCAGCACCCUGCCCAAAGGAGCAGCUUGGCUCCGAAGGCUCCCCCGUUCUCUGGAAGGGCACGUUCCCAAACCCCGGAGCUGCUGGUGCUGGCAGCAGCCCCCGCUGGGAGAAGGUGACACACGCUCGCCAACCCUCCCUGUCCCCCCAGGGAAGGGCUGGGUCUGCCCUGCCCUCCCACCGUCCUCAGCUCGGGGUUUUCAGUCUCUGAUCUCAGCUGGAGCACCCCCGGGCAGAGCAGCACCUCUGGAGGGACUGGUUCCUGCCGAGCCCUGGCAGCAAACCCCUCGGGAAGGGGGUCCCAGCCUGGGGGCUCAGCCUGGCCGCGGAGCCGGCCAGGGCUGGGGGAAGGAGGAGCAGAGCAGGAACCGGCCGGACUCGUUACACCGGUGACACUCGGGAAGGGUGACGGUGAGUGGCACGCUAACCAUCGUGUCCAGUCCCUAAGGAAUGCACCCAGGAUCCGCCAGGGGAGCAGUCCUGGAAACGCCUCUGCCCUGGCUGUCAGUCAUUCCCCUGAGCACCUCGGGAUGCCAGCGGAGGAUUUCAAUCAAAUUUGUCAGAGCCAUCGUGUUUCCACAAGCUGGAAUGUGUGUCCGGGCCCGGGGAUCCGCCCAGCCCCAGGAGCAGCCUUCACACCCGGGACGAGGAGGAGGAGGAGGGCAGCCAGGGAGAAACACUGGCACGCUGCAAGGAAAAGCUCACUAGGGAGAGAAAAUGGGAUGGAAACGCCGUGCUGGGUCUAGCGAGCCGCCUGCACGGAGCUGGUGCCACCCCGGGCAGCGGGCCAGGCUGGAGGCAGCAGGGCUGCAGCAAGAUGCUUCUUGCAUGCCGGAGUCAAGACAAAUUCCUGCCGUUUCAGUGAGCUUGGAGCACGGCCAGGUGUCCUUCCAGGAGAAAAAGCUGCAGCUGCAAAAGCCGCAGGCAGCCCCAGGAGCGCUCCUGCUCUGCAAGGCUGGGUGGUUUUGGAUGCUCCUGCAGCAGGCACAGCCCUGUGCAGAGGGGCUGUGGGCACGUGCAGCACCGUGCCACUGUGCCACCAUCCCUGCUCCCAGCACCAGUUACGAGCUGGGCACUGCCCAGGCCGCGGGGCUGAACUUGGGGACUGUAUUUCCAGCCCUGAAGGAACAGCCACCCCUGUCCCCAGAGCCAGGCUGAGGGGAGCACUGCAGCAGCACCUGAGCCUGCAUUUCACCCAGCACAGCCUCAGGCACAGCCUGACUGAUCCAUCACCCCUCUGCUCAAAGAGGGAAAUAAUGACAGACUACAGGCUCUGAGAAAAUAUACAGGGGUUUUUUUUAUUUGACAAUUAACAAAAGAGGGAUGGGAAUCUGGGCUGUAAACAUUGAUAGCUCCUUUCUGAUCACAACGAGUACUUUCCACCAACAUCCCUUUGUAUGCUCUGAUCCACCCAACAAUGCCCAGCCGACUCUGUCAGGGCUUUUGCUGCUCUGCUCAGGGUCACAAAUCCAGAGGCAGCUUAUUCACCACACACCCACAGCAGGACAGCCACCCACACAGGAGACAGCUGAGGGACUGAGACACUUCAGAGCUGCUUCCCUACAUGAGACACGCUUGCAAAAGGCAGGAGAUCAUGCUGGGUUUGGGCCAGAAGGAGGGAAACAUCUCUAAACCCAGCAGGUCUGCAGAGAAAUGAGCCCUGCAAAAGGCAGAGCCUGCCCAGGCAGGGACAGGGACUGUGACAGUGCCAGCCCAGCAAGAACACCCCAGCCCUGCUGUCAGAGGGAAGCUUUGGCCCGGACCGUGAAGAUUUGGAGAUGCAGAGCCAGCGAGUCUGUCCCAAAGAGGGACUGGCACAUCGUCAGCUCCAUUGUUGCAGUGGAACCAGAACUGCCUGGAGCUUGACAGGGGGAAGUGAAACCUCAUCGUGGGCUGGAGGGCAGCCAGGGCUGGAGGAGCUGCACCCAGGGGCCAGCCCUGCCCGCCGCAGCACACGGCUUGUCCCGGGACAGAGCCCUCCCCAGCACACGGCUCGUCCCGGGACAGAGCCCUCCCCAGCACACGGCUUGUCCCGGGACAGAGCCCUCCCCAGCUCGCGGCUCGUCCCGGGACAGAGCCCUCCCCAGCGCCCGGCUCGUCCCGGGACAGAGCCCUCCCCAGCACACGGCUUGUCCCGGGACAGAGCCCUCCCCAGCUCGCGGCUCGUCCCGGGACA